CUUCAAAAACACCCCCUUGGUUUCGUAGUUUCUCACUUUGGCUCCCUGUGGUUUAAAAUAUAUCAAAUUGCCCCCCCUGUAGUUUCGUUUUUAUUUUUCGGUAGUUUUUUUGUUAAUAUUUUAUUAAAUUAUAUAUAAAAAACUUCAGAUAUUCAUCUAGAUUUAUCAAAUAUUCACUUUAAUACCCUUUAAAUUAACUUUAUCACUGAUUUAAGAAAAAAAAUAAUGAAAUUAAUAAGAAAAAAAAGAAAAAAAAAAUCACAGGAGAGCAAAUUGAUACAUUUUAAACCAUAGGGGAGCAAAGUGAGAAUCUACGAAACCACAGGGAGGUUUUUGAAGUUUUCCCAAAGAGAAAACAAAACUAAUUGAGAAUCACAUCUCCACAGUCCACUUCCACCUGUGGUUGAUGUUAAAUAUAACAUUUAAAAAAUAUCGUUUUAUAUUAAUUUAAAUUUUUUAGAAAAUAUAUUUUAUUUAAUUUAAUAUGAUAUUAGAGUAGCAAAUUUUGAAUUUGAAUAACAAUAGACACUUAGCAAAAUUAAUUUGUUUCUAUUUAAUUCAAGCCUACGCCGUGAGCUUAUCAAAAAAAUCUCAAAUCUAGACAUAAAAAAAAUAUAUAAUAUAUAAAAAUAUAAAAAAUACUAUUUUUUAUUAACUUAUAUUUUUAAAAAAUAUAUAUUUUUUUUAUUUA
rnacentral:lncRNA from 1 species